GAUGAACGCUAGCGGUGUGCCUAAUGCAUGCAAGUCGAACGGGAUCCUUUGGAUUCGUCUGAAGGUGAGAGUGGCGAACGGGUGAGUAACACGUAGGUGACCUGCCCCGGAGAGGGGGACAACCACUGGAAACGGUGGCUAAUACCCCAGAUGUUAUUGCGCUUAGAAAGCAAUUACUAAAGUUCCGGCGCUCCGGGAGGGGCCUGCGGCCCAUCAGCUUGUUGGUAAGGUAAUGGCUUACCAAGGCUAAGACGGGUAGGGGGCGUGAGAGCGUGACCCCCCACACUGGUACUGAGACACGGACCAGAUACCUGCGGGUAGCAGCAGCAAGGAAUAUUGCCCAAUGGACGAAAGUCUGAGGCAGCAACACCGCGUGGAGGAUGAAGGCCUUCGGUUGUAGACUCCUUUCUGGGGAAGGAGAAGGACGGUACCCCAGGAAUAAGUCUCGGCUAACUACGUG
rnacentral:rRNA from 1 species